rnacentral:tRNA from 1 species
UAACUUAUGGCUCAACGGUAGAGCAUCGGAUUGGUACGCCGAAGGUUUAGGGUUCGAUUCCCAAAAGAGUUAA